CCGAGGCAGCCGCGAGCCCGCGACCACUCGUCGCUCGCCGAGGCGAACCCUGGCCGCGACUCCUCCGCGGGCGGCGACCCACAACCCUCGGCGCCGUGGCCCUCGCAGCCGCUGCCCGCUGGGCCGUCGCGACCUCGGCAGCCGCUGCCAUCGCGGCCGUGGCGUCCUCUAUCCGAUCCGGGGAUCGACGAACCACGACAUGGCAAAUUGGUAAAACGGAACCCCCUCUGCCUUCUCUCCCUAUUGCAGCACACCUCGAGCCCUACCAAGGCUACCAUGGCCUAGAACGCCAGCAAUUGCGUUGCCUGGAUGUCUCGCUCGUCCGUGCUUUGAACAGGACGGCGCCUCCACCUUCCGGCCUGUGCUAUGAACAGCUCGGCGCCUCCUUCGGGCCUCAGAUCAGGUCGAUACCGGUGCUCCCCGCCACGUGAAAAGCAGUAAAACGGAGUCCCCACUGCCUUCUCUCUCUAUUCCCCCACUCCUCGAGAUCUACCAUGCAUGCUCUAGAUCGAUGGCAAUUUGGAUGCACAGUGCUACUGAAAUAACACUCUGCUCUGCUCGUACAUGCUCGGUUUCUGGUAUGUUUUGCUCCUGUUGAACUGAAAUUUUUGUUCAUGUUCGGUUUCUGUUAUGUUUUGCUCCUGUUGAACUGAAAUUUUUGCUCAGCUAGCUAUGGUUACCUGUCAAAGUAGUUUCUGUUAUAUAACACUCUGUUCUGCUCGUGCUGAACUGAAAUUUUUGUUCAUCUAGCUAUGGUUGGCUGUCAAGUAGUGUAUACCAUUCGGAUAAAUGAAAUGCAUUACUGCUGCUACUUCCGUCAAUUAGCAAUAGCUAUUGUUCCUCUGCCUUUGGAAAUUUUCUCCAAAGUGUUAUAACUUGAAACCUGGAUGCCUGUGAUGUUGGCUUUUUUCCAAACUUGAUUCACUGUAUAUUGAACCUGAACAGCGGCAACUCUGAACAUUCAAAUUUCCACCUGUUUUGAUGCGUUCAGUACCAUCUAUGCCUGCUUUUGAGGAAUUUACUCCACCAUGUUCAUGUUUUGCCGGGCACACUGUUUUGAUCAUACAACCUGAUGUGGUAACGUCGAGAUGUUUUUCGGUAGAGCAUGCAACCUGAUGGUAGGAAGCGGGGUAGGGCACCCCUAAGCGAUGUUACAAACGGCAAUUCCGAAGGUGUCACAGACCCUGGGAUUGUAAGCUCCAAGGAAUUGAAAUUGCAGAGGCAGAUAACAGGAAGGGAAUGCAUCUAUGACUAACGAGCAGAGGAAUGAACGGAACAAAAAAGAGACGUGAGGCUUAUAGGAGGAAGAAAUUGGACGCAUCCAAUAAAGAAAACAAUACAUAUAUCAGGUGUCUGAUAAGUUUUUACAUUGGCAGCUAAGUAUUUACCCUUUAGUCACACGUGAGCUGAUUGUUCCUUUGUCUUUUUUAUGCUGAUAGGAGCUGUAAUUGAGCACCAUAUGCCAAAUGAGUUGAUAAGUUUUUACAUCGACGGUUGAGUAUUUACCCUUUAGUCACACGUGAGCUGAUUGUUCCUUCAUCUUUCUUAUGCUGACAGGUGCUGUAAUUGAGCACAGCACGAAUCAGGCCCAAGUCACCUUCACUUCUGUUGAGACGAGCAUAGCAUCAGACAUUGAGCCCCACGUGCCAAAUGAUUUGUGCAUAACUGAAAGUGAUCGUGUGCUCGAGUCACCUUCAGUUCUAUUGAGACGACCAUUGCACUAGGAUUGUAUAAAGAAGGAUAAGGAAGUUGUUGAUAGGUUGGUUGCGAUACUUCGUGGGAAUACUUACUCUGAACAUCUCAUGACGAUGUUUGGUAUUGAGAAUAUGGAGGAUUAUCAUAUUGAGUUGAACCUUGACCAAUGGCUAGAUCAGAGAACAUAUAAUGUUCCGAUCACAUUAGAGGUUGCUGCUAUCUGGAUAAAGGAUGGGUCUAUACAUGGUAUACGAUCAUACCAUGGUUGCUACAUGGUAAACCUUUUUUUGGAUUAAUUAUCUCCUUUUAUGAUACAAUUUUGAUGAACUAUUUGUGGUAGACCUUUAUACUUUAUACAAUAUGGUAUCAUAAUAUUUAAUAUUUCAGGAUC